rnacentral:tRNA from 1 species
GGUGGCUCAGUGGUAGAGUGUUUGCCUCGCAUACAUGAGGCCCUGGGUUCGAUUCUCAGUACCA